CAUCUGACCAUGCGGUGAAGUGAUGCAGGGAGCUAUGCCAGCAGAAAAUGAAUCAUUCAUUAUGUGUGCCAAAAUUUUGAGCUGGUGUGUGGGCCACAGGAGGUGUUCUUAGGUAGAUCCUUCACCUCCUGGUGCCCCUAAGAGUCUCAGGUGGGACAGCUUCACCACGGGACCCUGUGCCUCCAUCGGUGGUGUCAUUUGCUGGGAUUCACCUCCAGAAGGAGACCUAAGAAUCCAUCAUUACAAAAUCUGCUAUCAUAUACCCUGUGGCAUCAUAUAAUUAAAAUAGAUGAUUAUGCAGAUGCAAAUGGAUCUCUAAGGAAACCUAGCACAUGGACAUAACACCA
rnacentral:lncRNA from 1 species